AGUGAAGAAGGACAAGGACAUAACAAUAGAAUUGAGAUAUUUGAAACUGGAUUUUGCACAUUUAAACCUAGGAAUCUGUAAGCUUAAAUUUGAAUGGACUGCAGUAUGAAAUUGUUCUAGGAGCUGAUAGAUUUUUUUCACACACACACACACACACACACAUAUAUCCUUGGAAGUUGCUUAGUGUGGAAAAGUAGGGAUGGGAAUUUCAUCGGGGGUGUUGUGAUUAGUUAUAUAUUAUUAUGUCAAGGUUAGUUCCCAACCUACACCACAAUAUGCGUGUGGUAUUGUGGUGUAGGUUGGGAACUAACCUAAUCUUCAGCCUCUUUUCCUCGGUUGCCUCUCCCCUUUGUCACAUCUUUCUUCUCCUUCUCAUAUCUUUUUCUAAUUCUUAUAUAAUCUUUACAAAAUGACAUUGUAUCAGAGCAUAACAGUCUAGAUAUAGUGAGUUCAAACUCAAAACUCUUCUAACAGCCUCAACAGUUCCCUUGCUGACUUCAGCUAUAUCAGCAUGACAUCAUCACACUUCUCAGGUUGUCGCCUAAGAAAUGCCUCGGCUUCAUGAUCAAAAUCCCCAAUGUUCAACUGUCAAUCAUUGUUCCCUUAACUGCCAAUUUGUCAAGUUAGGUGACAAACUUGGAAAAGUGACGAAUCUUGAAUCUUGAGAAUUAUAGGGCUGUUUGUUGUAGUAAUUAAGCAUGAUUGCAUGUGAUUGAGUUAGUAAGGUGCUAUGUGGUUUUUGGCUGGUUGGGCUCUUGUGGUGUUCAGUUAUUUGGGGUCAAAAUGGUUUGGAUGCCUCUCGAUGGAGGAUCUCCUCUUUAAAUAGUGAAGUACCAACAUAAUUACAUUCUAAAAUCACUCCUGGACCAUAAUUACAAUUGUCUAUAAAUCAAUCUCCCUAAAUUAAGUAAUUACAUAUCAAUUAAUCUCCCUAGAUCAAGCUCUCUAAAUCAAGUAAUUGCAUAUAAAUCAAUCAAGAUAUUAUAACUAACAUCCACCUCAAAUUGAUGUUGGUGGAUUACAAAGCAUCAAUUUGUAAAUCAUGAAUUAAUGUCAAUGACAAGAUAGAGCCUUGGUAAACAUAUAAGCUGUCUGGAACUUAGUGGAAAAAUAAAGGAGAGUAAUCAUAUGUUAGUCAAGUGCUUCAUGAAUAGAAUGAUAAUCUACUUCAAUGUGCUUGGUGUGCUUAUAAAAGAUUGCAUUAGCAGCAAUUUGAAUGGCAUUGGUGUUAUCAGCAUGAAGAGAAGGAGUCAGUUAAGGAAUCCCUAGUUCACUCAACAGACUCUGAAGCCAAACAAUCUCAGAGCAUGCAAAUGACAUAGCAUGAUAUUCAGACUCGAUUGAGGAUUUAGAAACUCUAUGCAUAGCUUGUUUCCAACAUGCUAAGUAGAAGUUCAAGAGUAAAACUUAAGUACAGUAUUAGUAUUAAAAGUAUCUUGAAGAGUUCUAUGAGAGAACAAAUACCUAUAUGGAGGAUGUGAAAUCCGAAUGACCGAAGAGGUUCAGCCAAGACAAGAUCAAGUGUUGGAGCUAGGUCAUGCAAUGGAACUGAUGGACGACGUCUCUAAUACACAAUUCUUGACUUAAAACAUUCAAUAUAACUUGACAUAUCAUCAAAAUUAGGAAGACCAAAAGAAAGACUAAAAGAAAUAUUGAUUUUCAAAGAAGACCACAGUUUGACAAAUACAAAGUUUAUUAGCAUCUGAAUCAUAAAACACAAACCCCUUAUAGACAUUUCUAUAUCCUAGAAAGGCACAUUGAACAGAUUGAGUAGCAAGCUUGUGUCGUUUAGUUGGUGGCAAGUGAAACAAACGCGACCAAAUAUAUGAAAAGAAUUAUACUCUGGAGCAACACCAAAUAAAUGGGAAUUCAAAGAAUCCAAUUUGAGAACUUGAAAGGGUAGCGAUUAAUCAAAUAAACAAUUGUAGAUAAUGCUUCAAAUCUAGUUGGUACAUAAGACUCGAUUAACAAUUUAUGAACAUCUAAAAGGUGACGAUUCUUACACCUUGUAACCUAUUCUAUUGAGAAGUGUAUGGACAAGAAUGUUAUGAGGGAAUACCCUUCAUUUGUAGAUAAGAUGGAAAGUCAUUGGACAUAUAUUUCCCCUAGAAUUAGAUCUUAGAGUCUUAAUACAAGUA